GGGGCGUCUUGAAAGGUUUGAUUAAUGCUGCGGUUUAGUAAAUACAUCUAAAUUUCUUUUUACUGUGUUACACUAUAGACUGCUAAGUUGUAGAAGUGUUUUUCAAGCUGUUCAACUUGUUUUCAAGCUGUGUACAUGAGACAUUCAGUUGUCUUCUUUGGGUCAUGGUACCUUCAUAACUGCCUGUUAAAAAACCCAUGACAACAGUCUUUUUCAUAUUCUUACGAUAGCAAAUUGUACAAUUCUGAACCCUCUACUCUCAGUAUCGUAAGAAGUAUAUUAUAUGUAGAUUUUUGGUUAAAAACACUCUGCCGUGAAAUUAUUUUCCAUGGCUUCAAGCAAAGACAAAGUUCUCCGUGAAAAGCUGAAGAGAUCGGGGUCGCUGAUGAUGAAAGACCCUCCAGCGAUUACUGCUGUCAACGGAGACAGAGUGUUUCAGCUCAAGGAACUCAACAUUAUUAAAACAAUAGGCACAGGGACGUUUGGACGAGUGUGUCUAUGUAGAGACAAAGUGACCACCAACUACUAUGCCAUGAAAAUCUUACAGAUGGCUGACGUCAUCAGACUAAAGCAAAUAGAACACGUAAAGAACGAAAAAACAAUUCUUCAGCAAAUUAAACACCCCUUUAUCAUUGAAUUAACGUGGACAACACACGACGAUACCUCACUCUAUAUGUUGUUCGAAUAUGUGUGUGGUGGCGAGCUGUUCACAUACCUCAGAAAUUCCGGCCGCUUCAAUAGCACUACAGGAAAUUACUACGCUGCGGAAAUAGUGCUUGUUCUGGAGUACCUCCAUAAGCAACAGAUUGUUUACCGGGAUUUAAAACCCGAGAAUUUACUAUUAGACAAAGAUGGCCAUUUGAAGCUGACCGAUUUUGGAUUCGCUAAAAUUCUGACCGAUAGAACAUGGACACUGUGUGGGACGCCGGAAUAUUUAGCGCCAGAAAUUAUCCAGAGUAAAGGCCACAAUAGGGCUGUGGAUUGGUGGGCUUUAGGAAUUCUUAUAUAUGAAAUGCUAGCCGGGUAUCCACCUUUCUUUGACGAGAAUCCGUUCGCUAUAUACGAGAAGAUUUUAGUUGGCAAGAUUGAAUGGCCACGACAUGUUGAUCCAGUUGCUAAAGACUUAAUUAAAAAGUUGUUGGUUCAAGAUCGAACAAAGAGACUGGGCAAUAUGAAGAAUGAAGCUGAAGACGUUAAAAGACAUAGAUGGUUUAAAGGAAUCGUAUGGGAUGAUGUUUUAAACAAACGUGUCAAGCCUCCUAUCAUUCCCAGUGUCAGCCAUAAUGGGGAUACUCGUUACUUUGACCGGUUUUCCGACAAAAAGUGGAAAAACAUUAAGGAAAAAAUAGAAGAAGAGGAGUUGGCUUACUUCAAAGAUUUUUGACAAAUUCUUGUAGUUGAAUGAAUGGAAUACAUAUUGUCCAAAGCAGGAAUUAUAGGACGUUGACAAAAGUCUGAUGGAAGACUAAUAAAAAUCAACCGUUAUGACGCUCCUCGAUAUGAAAAUUGUCGUGGUAAUGUUUUUUUUUU
rnacentral:misc_RNA from 1 species